GGAAUGAUGUCAAAAAGUGCAUUAAAGUUGACAGUGAUGACGCAUGGCAAACUUAUGUGCAUAAAAAUAAAGAAGCCAAUGGAUAGAGAAGCAAAACUUUUCCAUUGUAUGAUAGAUUUGCAUAUAUAUUUGGAAAAUAUCGGGCUAUGGGUAAUGUAGCCAAAACCCCUGCUGAAAUGAUGGAGGAACAAAGUCAUGAUCAGGUUGGUGCAAGUGAUAUUGAAGGUGAAAAUGUUGUUUCUUCAAUGAACCAACAAAGCAUCCCAUCUGGAAUAGCCAAAGGAAGAGGAAAAGAACUAUGGGAAGUUCAAGUGAUGGAACCAAGGCAAUUAUCAGUGGACUAAAAGAAUUUUAUGUUGAAAGUGGGAAGAUGAUGCAAAUGGCAACUGAAGCUAUAGUUCAAGGUACUGCAGAUCAUAGUGACAUAGCUAACGAACGUGGAGCAAUGGGUAUUUCUCCUAUGGAUUAAAUUGAUGCAUUGACUCUUAUUUUGGAAAAACCACAAAAUGUGGGAGUGUUCAAGGCAAUCAAUUCGGAACUCAAGAAAGUGUUCGUCCAAAGGCUUUUAAGCGACAAAGCAAGCGGAUGAGUAUAUUAUGUGGUGCCUUUUGACAUGGAUGUAUUUUAUUAAUCGUACAAUCUUAUGUUAUGGCUUCUAACUUAGCUUUGCACUAUGAAGUAUUUUGGCUAAUGUUAACUAGGAUUUUGUAAAUUAUGGAGAUCUACUUUGGAAUGCUAUACUAUAGUUAA